CAGUCGCCACGGUAAUACGAAGGGGGCUAGCGUUGCUCGGAAUGACUGGGCGUAAAGGGCGCGUAGGCGGACCACACAGUCGGACGUGAAAUUCCUGGGCUUAACCUGGGGGCUGCGUUCGAGACGUGUGAUCUAGAGUUUGGAAGAGGGUCGUGGAGUUCCCAGUGUAGAGGUGAAAUGCGUAGAUAUGCGGAGGAACACCGAUGGCGAAGGCAAUCCCCUGGGCCUGCACUGACGCUCAUGCACGAAAGCGUGGGGAGCGAACAGGAUUAGAUACCCCCGUAGUCCCUGUCUCUUAUAC
rnacentral:rRNA from 1 species